CUGCUAUUCAGCAAUAAAUACAAAAAACAUGUUUUUGAUACAUAUAUCAAUGUGGCUGAAUGUUGAAAUAAGUAUGUUGAAUAAAAAAGCCAGAUAAAAUGAUCACAUACUGUAUAAUUAGCUUUAUCACAAUUCUAGAAAAUACAUAAUAUUGACAAAGUAAUCGGUGGUUCCCUGCAUAUGUAAUUGGAGGAAGGGAUGUUUUAUAAUAGUGAUAGUGGCAGGAGGCAGACAAAUUCCUAGGCAGAUCAGGGUGGGUCCCUGGUGAAAUCCAACUUUCAAGCCAAAGCCUGAAAAGCCUGAAAACCGGGCUGCCAGUUCCAGGUAGAAUCCACAACCGGAAGUGAGAACUUCCUGAUGCCUUUCAGCCAAUCAAAUGGUUCUUCUUUCAGAGCCCACCCAUGGACCAAUCAGCAUGCACGUCCUUCAUUCUGAGCAUAUAAAAACCCCUGGACUCGGCCACAGCUGUCGACUACCAGGCUGCGUUAGGAGCUACCGUCUUCAGCUUUUUCUCGCUGCUGAGAGCUGUUUUGUUACUCAGUAAAACUCUUCUCCACCGUGCUCACCCUUCAGUUGACCGUGCAACUUCAUUCUUCCUGGACAUAAACCCGGGACCCACAGAACAGCGGGUGCAAAAAGGGCUGUAACGCUUUCCUGGCCGGAUCGCCAAGCUGCAGGUAAGAUGUGCCUGCUUCACCUACUGGCGUGAAUGUAAACUUUCUGAGACCUUCCCAGCCAUGUGGAACUGUCACAUUUCAUUUCAUUUUUAGUGACUCUGCAAUGACCAUGGACAUUAUUUUUUAAUUGUUAAGCAUAUAAACAAACAUGCACACUAACACCCAGGAUGGAUAUAUCUAAGUUUGCUCAUCAGACCGAAAGUUUUCCAAUCUGGCAUGCUCCAGACUGCCAAGUGACAAAUAACAAAAGAAGCUAUGAGACCUGGGAAGAAGCCUGUGCAAAUGAGGAAUCUUGGAGCUAAAUCUCUACUAGCUUAGUGGAAGUCCCUUCUGCUUACAAAUGGAGUGCGUAUUUUUUCCUUUUGCUUUGUUUUUACAC
rnacentral:lncRNA from 1 species